rnacentral:lncRNA from 1 species
UUGUUCAAUAAAAUUCCUAUUAUUUUGUUAGUCUUGUUUGUUCCGCACUCUGAUAUUCAACUUGGUAUCAGAGCGGGUUCGAUCCUUAUGGUUCAAUCCGUUCUUGUUGGUAUCAAUUUGUUUUGUCGCAAUUUUGUUUUUGGGUUUACUUUUGGUCUCGUUUAGGCUUCGCUUCCGCUUUGCUCUGUGUCCCUUGUUCUUGGUCACUCUGUUUGGUCUCGUUUAGGCUUUCCCUUCUGCAGUUUGACUUUUCACUAGAGUUGUUCUGUCGGCUGCAAUCCCUUUAUUUUGCAAAACUUGUUUGCUGCAUCAUUUGGUUUUGCGAUCUGGAGAAGACCCCAGGUCAUAAGAAAAGGAAAAAAGUAUGGCUGGUUUGAGGCUUAGGCCCACACGGGCAAAGAAAAAAUAUGGUUUUGAAUAUGGUUUUUUGUUUGUUUGUUCGGAAGUUGGAAUUUGCACUGGCAUUGGAAUCUUG